rnacentral:tRNA from 1 species
GCACCUGUGGCUCCUGGGCGAGGGCCCGCGCCAGGUGCACGCGCUGGCGCUCGCCCCCUGAGAGCCUGGCGAGGUCGCGGCCCGCGAGGUGCGCC